CAACACUUGGAAUAAGAAUUUUUUUUCCCAAUUUCAAUUUUUGCCCUCACCUCUACCAAAGAAGGAAGGAACUGAAACUUUCUUUUCUACCUAUCUCUACGUUUCCUUUUUUCUUUUCCCUUUGAUUACAAAGGAGACCUAAGUCAAUCUAUUGAAGCAUCAUUCCUUUUAAGCUAAUAAAACCCUUUGGUUGUAGAGUUGCAACCCUUUUUUCCUUUUUUUUUUUUUUUUGCUUUUUCACUAUUUUAUUUCCCCUAUUUGAUUUCAUUGCUUUGAUUUCAUAAAUGCUAGAAAGAUAACAAGGCGAGUUGUUGUUAAGUGAAGAUAGAAGACUGGGAGGAUGAGAUUACACCUCUCCCUGCAAAGGAACAACUUAAAAGCAAAUGGGAUGAUGAAGAUAUUGAUGACUCUGAUAUCAAGGAA